GUUUACGUCUAUAAUUCCAACACUUUGGGAGGCUGAGGUGGAAGGAUUGCUUGAGCCCAGGAGUUUGAGACCAGCCUGGGCAACGUAGGGAGACCCUGUCUCUACAAAAUUUAAAAACGGCAACAACAACAAAAAACCCUACUAGCUGUGCAGCGGAGUGGUGCGCACCUGUGGUCCCUAACUACAAGCUACUCAGAAGGCAAGGUAGGAGCAUCACUGGGGCCCAGGAGGUCAAGGCUGCACUGUUCAUACCAUUGCACUCCAGCCUGGGUGACAGAGCGAGACCUUGUCUCAAAAGAAAAAAAAAAACAAUCUCAGUAAUAAUGACCACUGUGGCUGGGUGUGGUGGCUCACACCUGUAGUCCCAGCACUUUGGGAGGCUGAGGUGGGCAGAUCACCUGAGGUCGGGAGUUCGAGACCAGCCUGACCAACAUGUAAAAACCCCGUCUCUACUAAAAAAAAAAAAAAAAAUUAGCCGGGUGUGGUGGCAUACGCCUGUAAUCCCAGCUACUCGGGAGGCUAAGGCAGGAGAAUCGCUUGAACCCAGGAGGCGGAGGUUGCCGUGAGCUGAGAUUGCACCAUUGCACUCCAGCCUGGGCAACAAGAGUGAAACUCUGUCUCAAACAAAAAAAAGAAAAAAAAAAGUGACCACUGCAUCAAUAGUGGCUGCUGGAAUUACAGAUAAGCUUAGGAGAGCUAGCCUAAAGACUUUUAUUACUUUCCUCCAUAAAUUAACUGGCUCUGACUCUGUGUUGUUCAUUAUGGGACAGUGAGGUAUGAUGUAAUGGAAGGGCAUCAGGCUAGAAAACUACAUGGUCUUAAGGUCAUUGGAUAAUCUCUUGGGGCAUUGUUUUCCUUGGUGUGUGAUAAAGCUAAUAUAAUGAGGUACUUGUCCAGCCUACCUCACAGGGAUGUUGUGAGGAUAAAAUGAGAUAAUAGAUAUGAAACUGGCUUGGAAAAAAAAGAAAAGCAUUAUACA
rnacentral:lncRNA from 1 species